GGCCAGAUAGCUCAGUUGGUAGAGCAGAGGACUGAAAAUCCUUGUGUCGCCGGUUCGAUUCCGGCUCUGGCCACCA
rnacentral:tRNA from 1 species